rnacentral:piRNA from 1 species
UACACGCUCACAACUACAACCUCAUUUGCAUC